rnacentral:rRNA from 1 species
CAGCUAGUUGGUGGGGUAAGUGGACCUACCAACGGCGACGACGGGUAGCCGGCCUGAGAGGGCGACCGGCCACAUUGGGACUGAGAUACGGCCCAGACUCCUACGGGAGGGCAGCAGUGGGAAUAUUGCACAAUGGGCGCAAGCCUGAUGCAGCAACGCCGCGUGCGGGAUGACGGCCUUCGGGUUGUAAACCGCUUCAGCAGGGACGAAGCGCAAGUGACGGUACCUGCAGAAGAAGCACCGGCUAACUACGUGCCAGCAGCCGCGGUGAUACGUAGGGUGCGAGCGUUGUCCGGAUUUAUUGGGGCGUAAAGAGCUUGUAGGCGGUUAGUCGCGUCGUAAGUGCAAACUCAGGGCUUAACCCUGAGCCUGCUUUCGAUACGGGCUGACUAGAGGAAGGUAGGGGAGAAUGGAAUUCCCCGGUGGAGCGGUGGAAUGCGCAGAUAUCGGGAGGAACACCAGUGGCGA